GGUUAAGCGAAUAAGCGUACACGGUGGAUGCCUAGGCAAUCAGAGGCGAUGAAGGACGUGCUAAUCUGCGAAAAGCGUCGGUAAGGUGA
rnacentral:rRNA from 1 species